rnacentral:rRNA from 1 species
AAUGAACGUUGGCGGCGUGGAUUAGGCAUGCAAGUCGAGCGAGAACCGUAGCAAUACGGGGACAGCGGCGUAAGGGAGAGUAAUACGUAGGUACCUACCUUCGGGUCUGGGAUAGCCGCGGGAAACUGCGGGUAAUACCAGAUGAUGUCUUCGGACCAAAGGUGUGAUUCCGCCCUUAGAGGGGCCUGCGUCCUAUUAGCUUGUUGGUGAGGUGACGGCUCACCAAGGCCAUGAUGGGUACGGGGUGUGAGAGCAUGCCCCCGCUCACUGGGACUGAGACACUGCCCAGACACCUACGGGUGGCUGUAGUCGAGGAUCUUCGGCAAUGGGCGCAAGCCUGACCGAGCGACGCCGCGUGUGGGAUGAAGGCCUUCGGGUUGUAAACCACUGUUGGAGGGGAGGAAAUGCCAGGGGGUUCUCUCCUUGGUUUGACCUAUCCUCUGAGGAAGGACGUGCUAAGUUCGUGCCAGCAGCCGCCGUAACAC